GAUUAAGAACGUAGCGAAAUGCGAUAAGUAAUGCGAAUUGCAGAAUUUCCGUGAGUCAUCGAAUCUUUGAACGCACAUUGCGCCCACUGGUAUUCCGGUGGGCAUGCCUGUUCGAGCGUCAUUAUCCUCCCUCAAACCUCGGGUUUGGUGUUGGACCCAAGUUGUGUGAACAACUGGUCUUAAAGACAAUGACGGCGUCCGUGGGACCCUCGGUGCAACGAGCUUUUAGGGGCACGCGUCGAGUUUCAAGGACCUUCCGGGCCGGUCUCCUUUACCAUUUUACAAGGUUGACCUCGGAUCAGGUAGGAAUACCCGCUGAACUUAAGCAUAUCAAUAAGCGGAGGA
rnacentral:misc_RNA from 1 species